rnacentral:sRNA from 1 species
GCCAGGUGUGGUGGCUCACACCUGUAAUCCCAGCACUUUAGGAGGCCUAGGAAGGAGGAUCACUUGAACCCAGGAGUUUGAGACCAGCCUGGGCAACAUGGUGAGACUCUUGUCUCUACAAAAAUUUUAAAAAUUAGCUGGGCAUGGUGGUGUGUACCUGUGGUCCCAGCUACUCAGGAGGCUUAGGUGGGAGGAUCACUUGAGCCCAGGAGGUUGACGCUGCAGUGAUCCAUGAUUGCAACACUGCACUCUAGCCUGGGCAACACAGUGAGACCCUCUCUAA